AUGACGAUGAUGGCCUACGGAGGAUGGGGAAGCAGCAGCACGGCGCCGCCGCCGCUCACGCUGAAGCUCCAGGUGAACACCCGCACCAACCGCGUGGUCUGCGCCGAGGCCGAGAAGGACAUGGCGGACUUGCUCUUCUCCUUCGGCAACAUCCCCCUCGGCGCAGCCGGCAGGCUGCUUGGCAGGGGCUCCAUGGGGAGCUUCGGCAACUUGUCCCAGAGCCUCGGGGGGCUCCACGCCUCCUACAUCAUCGACCAAGACGCCAGGGACGCCCUGCUCGCGCCCACGGGCCGCGGCCUUCUCAUGCUUGCCGGCGACGGGUCGUCGUCGUCGUCGUCUGGCGGGUUCGUGCGGGGGGCCGUGACCUACACGGUCAUGGACGACCUCACGGUCACCCCCAUGUCCGUCAUCUCUUUGGCCACCAUCCUCAAAAACAACAAAAUCAAGGACAUCGGCCAUCUCGAGGAAAGGCCUGUCCUGGUGGGACCCACUGAGGCUCUGGAGUUACUGAAGGCGUCACUGCAGUCCAACACCGUACUCACCGACGUCUUCCUUAGGAGGGCCUGA
rnacentral:rRNA from 1 species